UUAACGGACACUACGGUCCUAUGGCUAAAAUGAUUUCCAUUUAUACGCUCUUCGUUUUAAGCAUUCUGCAUGCUCAUGCUGCUCCUCAAGGUAUGUCAAUUGUCAAUUACCCGCCUCAGCAAUCAACGAUUGGCGUCUAAAACCAGUGAUAUUUUAAUUUAUUUUUAAUUUAUUUGAUAUACUUACCAGAGUAUCAGACAUUAACCCAUAAGUAAUGUCAUAGGCAAC